UAGCUAGUUGGUGAGGUAACGGCCCACCAAGGCGACGAUUGGUAGCCGGACUGAGAGGUUGAACGGCCACAUUGGGACUGAGACACGGCCCAGACUCCUACGGGAGGCAGCAGUGGGGGAUAUUGCACAAUGGGGGAAACCCUGAUGCAGCGACGCCGCGUGGAGGAAGAAGGUUUUCGGAUUGUAAACUCCUGUCGUUAGGGACGAUAAUGACGGUACCUAACAAGAAAGCACCGGCUAACUACGUGCCAGCAGCCGCGGUAAAACGUAGGGUGCAAGCGUUGUCCGGAAUUACUGGGUGUAAAGGGAGCGCAGGCGGACCGGCAAGUUGGAAGUGAAAUCCAUGGGCUCAACCCGUGAAUUGCUUUCAAAACUGCUGGCCUUGAGUAGUGCAGAGGUAGGUGGAAUUCCCGGUGUAGCGGUGGAAUGCGUAGAUAUCGGGAGGAACACCAGUGGCGAAGGCGACCUACUGGGCACCAACUGACGCCGAGGCUCGAAAGCAUGGGUAGCAAACAGGAUUAGAUACCCUGGUAGUCCAUGCCGUAAACGAUGAUUACUAGGUGUUGGAGGAUUGACCCCUUCAGUGCCGCAGUUAACACAAUAAGUAAUCCACCUGGGGAGUACGACCGCAAGGUUGAAACUCAAAGGAAUUGACGGGGGCCCGCACAAGCAGUGGAGUAUGUGGUUUAAUUCGAAGCAACGCGAAGAACCUUACCAGGUCUUGACAUCCGAUGCAUAGUGCAGAGAUGCAUGAAGUCCUUCGGGACAUCGAGACAGGUGGUGCAUGGUUGUCGUCAGCUCGUGUCGUGAGAUGUUGGGUUAAGUCCCGCAACGAGCGCAACCCUUAUUGCCAGUUACUACGCAAGAGGACUCUGGCGAGACUGCCGUUGACAAAACGGAGGAAGGUGGGGAUGACGUCAAAUCAUCAUGCCCUUUAUGACCUGGGCUACACACGUACUACAAUGGCGUUUAACAAAGAGAAGCAAGACCGCGAGGUGGAGCAAAACUCAGAAACAACGUCUCAGUUCAGAUUGCAGGCUGCAACUCGCCUGCAUGAAGUCGGAAUUGCUAGUAAUCGCGGAUCAGCAUGCCGCGGUGAAUACGUUCCCGGGCCUUGUACACACCGCCCGUCACACCAUGAGAGCCGGGGGGACCCGAAGUCGGUAGUCUAACCGAAAGGAGGACGCCGCCGAAGGUAAAACUGGUGAUUGGGGUGAAGUCGUAACAAGGUAACCGUA
rnacentral:rRNA from 1 species